rnacentral:tRNA from 1 species
AGGGAUAUAGCUCAGGGGUAGAGCACAUGCUUAGCACGCACGGGGUCCUGGGGUCAAUCCCCAGUCCCUCCA